rnacentral:rRNA from 1 species
AGAGUUUGAUCAUGGCUCAGAUUGAACGCUGGCGGCAUGCCUUACACAUGCAAGUCGAACGGCAGCAUGAUCUAGCUUGCUAGAUUGAUGGCGAGUGGCGAACGGGUGAGUAAUACAUCGGAACGUGCCCUGUAGUGGGGGAUAACUAGUCGAAAGAUUAGCUAAUACCGCAUACGACCUGAGGGUGAAAGUGGGGGACCGCAAGGCCUCAUGCUAUAGGAGCGGCCGAUGUCUGAUUAGCUAGUUGGUGAGGUAAAGGCUCACCAAGGCGACGAUCAGUAGCUGGUCUGAGAGGACGAUCAGCCACACUGGGACUGAGACACGGCCCAGACUCCUACGGGAGGCAGCAGUGGGGAAUUUUGGACAAUGGGCGAAAGCCUGAUCCAGCAAUGGCCGCGUGUGUGAAGAAGGCCUUCGGGUUGUAAAGCACUUUUGUCCGGAAAGAAAUGGCUCUGGUUAAUACCUGGGGUCGAUGACGGUACCGGAGGAAUAAGGACCGGCUAACUACGUGCCAGCAGCCGCGGUAAUACGUAGGGUCCAAGCGUUAAUCGGAAUUACUGGGCGUAAAGCGUGCGCAGGCGGUUGUGCAAGACCGAUGUGAAAUCCCCGAGCUUAACUUGGGAAUUGCAUUGGUGACUGCACGGCUAGAGUGUGUCAGAGGGGGGUAGAAUUCCACGUGUAGCAGUGAAAUGCGUAGAGAUGUGGAGGAAUACCGAUGGCGAAGGCAGCCCCCUGGGAUAACACUGACGCUCAUGCACGAAAGCGUGGGGAGCAAACAGGAUUAGAUACCCUGGUAGUCCAC